ensembl:lncRNA
CUGUAAAACUACAGUAAACCCAUUUCUUUCUGUCGCAUUGUAAGGGAUCAGGACUGAGACUCAGGAGCAGAGUAAUAAAACAAAAUACUUCUUUCCAGGUUCGGGAUCUUUACUGGCAAAAGUCAACUUUACAAAACAAACCAAAAGGUAGCACAGGCACAAGCGGACUUAACACGCUAGAGAGGAAGAAAGAAAAAGGCCUGGCAAUAACAAAAACAGGAAGACCAAAAAUGAACACUGGCUUGAACCGCAUAACAACUUAUUAUUUUACUGUUAUUUGUUAUGUUAUGUUAUAUAAAGUCUAACGUUGGUCAGAGAUCUUUGGCUUUGACUCAAAAUGAUUUACAUGGAUUUAUCGAGCAGCACUACAGCCAGCAUGUGGAAAAGAGCUUCCAUACACCAAAAAAAGUGUUGAGGGCCACACCUGCAGUAGGGUAUGGACGCGUGUUAGAAGAGUUCAGUGAGGAUAAGCUGUUGGAUAUCUCUAGCUCUUACAACACCUCCUCAUAUCUCCGUCUAUCUUUGUUCCUGUCUCCACUCGGGCCUCGGCCAUAAAGAUUAAACUCCUAAAGUCCAGAGGUUGCCACUACUUGAUUUACAAGACCGAGACACCCGACACUCAUUCCUCUCCAACAUCUCACAACCUCAGCAGACCAACACGCGCAGGUGAGCGAGUCGUUAUUAUUAAUGUAUUGACUUUAAGUAUUUCUUUAGUUUCAUGACAAAAUACACUCAAAGUAGGUACAUGUUUUAAUGUGUGAGUUUGUACGGAGAAAGCAUGAAAUGCGAUUUAACAAAUGUCUAAAUCUUUUGAUAGAUUUUCAAGACAUUUCAAGUAAAAUAAUGAAUCACAUAAAUCGUUUUUAUUAAACGAAAGCAAGGCAGGCAAUAACAUGCAUUUAACUACAUUUUUGGGACACACAUUUCACAUAACUUCUUACUCAUCAAAAUAAUUUAGAUGAAACGUUACUGUCCGUUGCUGUGCUUUAUUUAACUCCUGUGCAUUCCUUUAGAUUACUUGAGAGGACCAAAAAUGUCUGUGUGACAGAGUGCCAUCAAACAAUGCAUUAAUAUUAAUUCCCAAUAUCCCAUCAGUAAAAAUAAUGGUUUAGAAAUAUUAUAAAUUGCUAUUAGAUAAACAAAAUAUUCAAUUGGCUUCAAUUGAGACAUCUCUGUCCUUUUAAGCUCUGAGUUUCUGUGCUUGGCUACACAGUUUAACGUCCAAAGAUAUAAAGAAAAAUAUUUCAUAUGACUUUACAUACGAAUAUUAUGCUUCUGACUUCACAAAAUUCAUUUGAUUUUUGAUUAUUUUGAGUCCAGUGAAUACUAGUUAGUGUAGAUGUAUGUAUGUAAGGAUGGACUGUGAAUACACUGUACGUCUACUGCGUAACACAUUAUGAAGUAAUUGUGUAAUGGAAUCAUAAUUAGAAUGUCUGCCUUAAAAAUAAAAAAAUGAAGUAGAGUGAUGAACCAAGUAGAAAGCUAAUUGUUGUGAGAAACAAGACUGAAGUAGAGACUCCACGGAGGUGGAAGGAGAUCAGGCAGAAGCGUCCUCUCUGGCACCAGUGACCAGUGAGUGGCUCACACUGACACAAACUGUGUUGUUAUCGGGUGGUAGCGGAGUCCAUCCGAUCUCGAUCCGAUAGUGAGGUGCUGAUGCUUAGUAGCUCCUGCACACACGCCUUGUAAGCUCUCUGUGAUGAAGAGGCCUCCGUCUGAGUACGCUUGAUAGAUGGUCAAUUGAGAACGGGAGGGAAGACCUUUGGCUUUAUAUGAAUUCUUUAGAUUUCAGAGUUUUUUAAAGAAAUACCCAGAGUUUGGACUAUUUCAUUGUAAAAUAGAGAAGGAAUUACAUCAUGUAAUACAAAAGUCAUUGAUGGAACAUUUGAGAAUGAUUCAAUACAAGCUGCUGUCUUACAUACUGACCUGGAAAAAAGCUCUGGUUAAAGCUGCGCGUAGAGACUGGGGGCAGGGGAGAGUGUUUGUGAAGCAGGUACAGACAGAUAUGUGGUUUUAGGAGGAGUUUCUUUUUCCUCUACUCCUCUACUUAUCUGCUGUUUUAUUCAUUGUCUUUUCCUGAGCCCCUAACUUCAACUCGCCUCACUCUCAUUUGUAGAAGACUUUGUCUGUCCCUCACUUCCCAUCUUCCUUCCUAUCUUCUCUUCACAUAUUUAUCCCUCCUUUUUCCAUCCGUCAUCCACUGGUCUUAAAAUGUUCUUUAAUCCCACUGUCAUCUCUCGUUAUCUCUUAUUCCCUCUCCUGUCUUUACCUCUGUCCUUGCUCCCUCUCUAUCUCUCUAUCUCUCCAUCUUCAGGUGUUGUCUGACGGCUUUAAGCGGAGGGCAAUUAGUCCGUCGUUCUCAUUAAUAAUACAUUGUUAAGCUCGUUAAUUAUUUACCUUAAUUGCUGAUAUAAGUUUCUCUUCCGUUGACACACACACACUGGUCACUAGCUCUCAAAGGUGACGGAUGGAUUGAGUUUCUGUGGCUCUCUUUCGGCUCCUUUCCUUUAUUUCUAUCCCUGUGUGUGUGUGUGUGUGUGUGUGUGUGUGUGUGUGUGUCUUCAGAUCAAUACAGUUGAUUGAGUGUAAAUGAAAAGAGUGCAGCAGCUACUAAAACUGUGUCACUGUGUUAAUGAGGCCCAGUGAACAGGGAAUACUAAUGUUUGUCUUUGGAUUAUCUAAUUUAUUGAUCACUGAUCAAGGAAACUGUUAUCAAAUACAAAUAAUACAUCUGUAGUUAAACGGAGCAAACACGCAGGGCUUUUGGGCCAAUGAAAAAAUUGAAAAGUCCCCUUAGAGUGCUGUUUUGGUCUCCUCCACCUUCUUCACCUCCUACUGUGGCUUCAUCGCAGCUUCACUGACAACAAAUCAGAUCAAUAAACUCAAAUGCUGUAAACUGAAAGUGGCUUUAGAGCUGUCAUGUGGAUAAGGGAAAGACAUUUCCACAUAUGUAUGUUUUUUAAACAUACUAAGAGAAAGAGACUUUGGGCUCAUUAAAACAGCAUGCAUACGUUUUCUUUCCAAAAGUGAGCUGAACAGAUGGACAUCACUCUAACGUCUGAUCGAUAUGACAACGCUGCCAACAACCACGUGUUCAUUUAUUGUGUAAACGACUGGUUAAGGAUUAUGUUGUUCACGGUUUCCUCAUUAAUGUUCUUUUUCUAAUAUCACUAUUUUAAUGCAUGAAAAUACCUAAAUGUUCCUGAAUGACCAUCCAGCAGAUUUAUGUACAGCCCAUUUUUGGCGCUAAUAAAAGUCUGUGAUUUAUUUCUACACAGUCAACACAUUUGUUCUUUUGAUCUUUGUGCUGUACCCUAUUUAUCUGGAGAAACCUUUGGACCUGACCUUCAACCUAGGGCCAGGACAGAGUCUCUAUCAGCAACAUGAGAAACUAGUGUGAUAUGUGUACAUAUAUAAAUAUGUUACAUUCAGUACUCUUUUUCUCUUUUUCAUUUCCCUUUUCUCUAUUUCAGUGUAACCGGUAGGCUCCUCCUCAUGUCCCUUUGCGUGUGUGUGUACAUGUCGGGGAUAUCUCCGGCUGUGAAGCUGGCUGGAGCUGCUGUCGCUCGGCAGUCAGCCUGAAGACAGACAGAAGAUGGACAGACGGGGGAAGUGGAGGACAGAGGCGGGCGCCGUCAGUAACAAGGAUUCAUCCUGUUGUGAUGCUGCAGGCUGACAGGAUAUCGUUGUUACUGGGGGCGAGGCUCUCGCCAACACGCACAGUGCCGCGGGACCUUACCGUUUGUGAUGUGCUGUGAUGUCAUUUCCAAUAAAGGAACAUUUCAAAUCCUCCUCCGGCUGUUCCAGGAUCAAAAUGAACUUGUUUUCUAAGCAGCACCAGGGCCUUAAUAAUGAAGCUCUUUUUAGCCAUGAAGAUAAGGCCUGAAGCACAUUUUUAUCAGCAUAGCACGAGUCAUACCGGAGUCAACAGACGUAGAACCCAGCUGAGACAGGACACUUACAACUAGAGGGGCGUAGAUACGGUCUAAGGAGACCGAAGCUGUGAAACUAGAAUGCUGGAACGCUGACCUUAGUCAGCCAAGACUUACUGGUACAAAGAAGGGAACACACGGAUGAGUAGGGACAGAUGCAAACAGAGAACCACACAAUCCCGAGCAGGAAGGGAAGUACAGUAACUGAAACAAUUGACAUAUGUGAGAAUAACUACAUAAAAGAGGAAAUGAUCAAAGUAGAACCAAUAAAAAACCACCAGCAGGUGAUUGGAAUGGUAAUCACCCUCAGUCUGAGGAACAGUGGCAGAUGUAAAGGUCCACCUCUGAAUGAUGUCUGCAGGGAAGUGAAGCUCCGCCCACUGCUCUGUGCAGGGCGAGUCACCUUUUAAAAAAUAUAUUUAACAUAUUGCAACAAAAUGACAGCAAUAAAUAAAGUGUGACGUAAAAGUGGUGAUUGGUUCUAUAGAUAUAGAAGAACCAAAAUAUAAGAUAAGUGCUGCACCGGGGGGGGGGGGGGGGGCAGUGCGGCCCGCCGGAUGACUUAGCUAAGUGUAAAAGAGUAGCUGCUAUUCCUAAAAAGUCCACUCAGGGUUGCACUCUGUGCAUGGGCGCAUGCGUCAGACAGCCCCCCUGUCAACCCUACCAUCCGCGUCCACGAGCACCCCCCCACUGUCGGUCCGGCCUGUGGACAGUAUGGUCCCCUAAACCAAAAAGUUUGACACUCCUGGUCUAAAACCUUAAUAACGACUAAAAAGGAGCUAUGAUGACACUAAAAGAAGACCCAUGAACACACACAUGUGUUGAAUGUGGAGCUACAGACAAGUUGAUAUUAAUAAAUGAAAGGCCAGACUCUAAUUACCUUCAAUUAAACCGUACAGUGUCCUAUCAGAGCUCACAUCGCUACUGGCUGUCUGCUUAAAACUACAUUCACACACACACACACAUCCUCUCUCCUCCUAGCCCACACUACUUUGGUUUCACCCGGCUAGUUCGUAGACAGGGCCUAGUGUGUGUGUGUGUUCAGUGUGUAUUUAUUUACCUGCCACAGUACUUUUAAUGCACUGAGCCCUUCAUUCAGACCCCAGGGAGCAGUGAUAAGCACACACACACACACACACACACACACACACACACACACACACACACACACACACACACACACGCGCAAUCUCCCUCGCUUGCAAACAAAAUUAAAUACUGACAAAACUUGUGCCUACACACACACACACACACACACACACACUCCCUCCCCCUUGUUUACACUGAUACACACUGUUGAAUGACACAAUAAAAACUCUCCUUCUCACAGACACACACAUUCACAUAUGUGCAGUACCAGACCCCGGGAGGCCUCCCGUUAGCUCUGGCUUAGACGUUUGGUCGUGACACGCCGGAGGCGAGGCGGCCCAGCGGAACCAACCACGGCAAACAAACAAAUAACAGAGCAGUAGGGGAGGACCAGAAAGUACUGGUUCAUCAGUAGAUCUCACACUACACACAGUGUGUGUGUUCAACAUAGAGUCAAGUAUAUAAGUUUGGCUGCUUCAUAGGUUCUAAAGCCUCAUGGAUUAAUAAGCGGGCUAACUAUGCUUUAUACUGUGUCAUAGAUUAUAGAGCAGGCCAGAGACAUCAUAUACGAGUAUACGAGACAUCAUAUCUGGACUAACAUUAUGGUUCCUUCAUGUCGACAGGGCCUAGGGAGUACUUUAAAACAGAUUAGUGCAUAUUGUAGCCAAGAGUCUAACGCUUGGAACCAUGUGAAGCAUUCAUGUGUUGGUUCAUGAUGAGAACCCGAGAGUUCGGUUCUGGUUCGUUUAGGAGACUUUAGGGUUUAAAGGUAGGAACAAACAGAAAGGUUUUGAGUCUUAAUUUGAAGAAACUCAGGCGACCCAGGACUAGGUGGAGAGAUUACACCUCUGCACUGGCCUGGGAACGCUUCGGGAUCCCCCAGUCAGAGCUGGUAGAUGUGGCCCAAGAAAGGGAAGUUUGGGGUCCCCUGCUGGAACUGUUGCCCCCGCGACCCGACGCUGGAUAAGUGGUUGAAGACGGAUGGAUGGAUGUUGAGUCAUAAAUCCUCUCAUCCUUUAUAUAUUAUUUAGGGGCAUAUAGGCUGGUUGUGUAAUUGUCUUUAAAUGGCUGUUCAAAUUAAGGUCUGACUCCAUAACUACAACUAGAUUUCUGACUUACAGUUUUCAAGACAAGCGAUUAUAGCUGAGCGCUGAGUUUCAAUGGCUCAAUGAUAACACACCUUGUUUCUUUCCAUAAUGUGAGCUAGUGGAAGCAUGUGGUGUUGAGAAGGAGAGCCCCCAGAAUUGAACCUCGGGGAACACCACUUGCCAUUUUAGUCCAUUCUGAUCCUGGUGAGAUUAGCUGCAUCAUUCAAGUAGGAUUCACACCAGUUUAGUGCUAUUCUUUAAAGCAGUGUGUCAUUAAAAUCUCUGUCCAGCGUCAACCUCUCCAUCAUCCGUGAUCCCCCACUGUGCCUAGCUGUUCCUUUCAGCUGCAUAUUCAACAGAAGUACUGCUUUUUUACACAUCAUGCCUGUCGUGAUUUACUAUUUUUGUAUCAUUACCAUAAAAAAUAUUUUAUUUAAAUAAAGGGAUUGAUUGGAUUAAAUGAGCCAACUUUCCUUUCUUUAAUUAAUAUAACCGACAAAUUAUUACCGGUACUGGAGAAAAUCCCAAAUCCCUUCACUCGGGUACCCCAUUUCUCUCUAGAUCAGAGGUCACUAACUGGCGGACCGAUCUUAAUUCUUCCAAAACAGUGGAUAUAAAUAUAUAUAUAUAUUCUAUUCAACUGUUCAAUUGUUAAAAUGUGUUCAGAUUUAUUAUUUAUAA